rnacentral:rRNA from 1 species
GACGUAGGGCGCGAGCGUUGUCCGGAUUUAUUGGGCGUAAAGAGCUCGUAGGCGGCUUGUCGCGUCGAAUGUGAAAACCCACGGCUCAACUGUGGGCUUGCAUUCGAUACGGGCAGGCUAGAGUUCGGUAGGGGAGACGUGGAAUUCCUGGAUGUAGCGGUGAAAUGACGCAGAUAUCAGGAGGAACACCGAUGGCGAAGGCAGGUCUCUGGGCCACUACUGACGCUGAGAAGCGAAAGCAUGGGGAGCGAACAGG